rnacentral:rRNA from 1 species
GGGCCCGCACAAGCAGUGGAGUAUGUGGUUUAAUUCGAAGCAACGCGAAGAACCUUACCAGGGCUUGACAUACCAUUGACGUACUUAGAGAUAGGUAUUUCCUUCGGGACAAUGGAUACAGGUGGUGCAUGGUUGUCGUCAGCUCGUGUCGUGAGAUGUUGGGUUAAGUCCCGCAACGAGCGCAACCCCUGUUGUUAGUUGCCAUCAUUAAGUUGGGCACUCUAGCGAGACUGCCGGUGACAAAUCGGAGGAAGGUGGGGACGACGUCAAAUCAUCAUGCCCCUUAUGUCCUGGGCUACACACGUACUACAAUGGCUAUUACAGAGGGAAGCGAAGCCGCGAGGUGGAGCAAAUCUCCAAAAAUAGUCCCAGUUCAGAUUGUAGGCUGAAACUCGCCUACAUGAAGUCGGAAUUGCUAGUAAUGGCAGGUCAGCAUACUGCCGUGAAUACGUUCCCGGGCCUU